rnacentral:rRNA from 1 species
UUCUGGGAGGAUUGACAGAUUGAGAGCUCUUUCUUGAUUCGGUGGAUGGUGGUGCAUGUCCGUUCUUAGUUGGUGGAGUGAUUUGUCUGAUUAAUUCCAAUAACGAACGAGACUCUAGCCUUUUAAAUAGGUGCGUGGUUCUCUGGUUCUCUGCACGUUGCACCCUUCUUAGAGGGACAAGCGGCUCCUAGCCACACGAAACAGAGCAAUAACAGGUCUGUGAUGCCCUUAGAU